rnacentral:lncRNA from 1 species
UUGCUCUCGGCCUUAGCGCCAUUUUUUUGGAAACCUCUGCGCCAUGAGAGCCAAGUGGAGGAAGAAGCGAAUGCGCAGGCUGAAGCGCAAAAGAAGAAAGAUGAGGCAGAGGUCCAAGUAAACCGCUAGCUUGUUGCACCGUGGAGGCCACAGGAGCAGAAACAUGGAAUGCCAGACGCUGGGGAUGCUGGUACAAGUUGUGGGACUGCAUGCUACUGUCUAGAGCUUGUCUCAAUGGAUCUAGAACUUCAUCGCCCUCUGAUCGCCGAUCACCUCUAUCCCACC